rnacentral:lncRNA from 1 species
GGCUGCCCUGGGAGAACCAGUCCAUGAUGGGGGCACAGGCAGAGCAGUGAGAGCAGACCCCCUGGCUGGGCCCUGGCCUCAGGAAGACGUGCCCAUGCCCUGCGGGCUCCCGGCCCUGGUCCCCUCUGUCCCCGGGCACAGGGCAGAGAAACACAGGAUGGCGCCACUCCCUCUGUGGAGUUAAACGAGUCACCCACGUGGUCCUGCCUCAAAGCAGGUUCCGCGCCUUCUAACUACAGGGAGGUGGGCUGAAGGGGUAACGGAGAGAAGAGCAGGUGUCCACGGGCAGGACAGCGAGGGCGCUCCGAAGGAAAGGACACACAGUGUCACACUAAGUCGGACAAAGUACACGGAAGAAACCCAUUGAUCAAACCCAUGGCAUCUUCGUGGCCCUGCCUAGGACGUGCACGGACGUGGGGCGUAUACUGGAAGAAGGCAGAAUUCUCAACAGGUUCAAAGAUGACUGGAUGCAGGUGGGAAGACAUUUAGCUAUGCAAGAAAUGCAAACUCCAAUCAGCUGGGUGGGAAAAGCUUUUUUUUUUCCCCCUAACGCAUAGGCACCUCUCAACUUCCAAAACAUUCACAAGAGACGUUUCAGGCAAGGCAGGUCAACUGAGUACGUUCUAGUGUGUUAUUUAUUAUUUUAUCACUUGUACUGUUUUAAUUGAAUUUGGCCUACUGGGACGACAAGGCUGUAAAUAA